ACAGCAGUAGCCGCGGCAAUACAGAGGGUGCGAGCGUUAAUCGGAUUUACUGGGCGUAAAGCGUGCGUAGGCGGCUUUUUAAGUCGGAUGUGAAAUCCCUGAGCUUAACUUAGGAAUUGCAUUCGAUACUGGGAAGCUAGAGUAUGGGAGAGGAUGGUAGAAUUCCAGGUGUAGCGGUGAAAUGCGUAGAGAUCUGGAGGAAUACCGAUGGCGAAGGCAGCCAUCUGGCCUAAUACUGACGCUGAGGUACGAAAGCAUGGGGAGCAAACAGGAUUAGAUACCCCGGUAGUCCCUGUCUCUUAUAC
rnacentral:rRNA from 1 species